rnacentral:rRNA from 1 species
UACAGAGGGUGCGAGCGUUAAUCGGAAUUACUGGGCGUAAAGCGCGCGUAGGCGGCUUUGCAAGUCGGGUGUGAAAUCCCCGGGCUCAACCUGGGAACUGCAUUUGUGACUGCAUCGCUGGAGUGCGGCAGAGGGGAAUGGAAUUCCGCGUGUAGCAGUGAAAUGCGUAGAUAUGCGGAGGAACACCGAUGGCGAAGGCAAUCCCCUGGGCCUGCACUGACGCUCAUGCACGAAAGCGUGGGGAGCAAACAGG